UGUGACCAAAAUGCAAGCUACAUUGGCACUGAUCGCAGUACUCCUCGUGCUCCAAAGGAGUGUAUCCGCCAAACCGAAUGAUUUUGAAAUUGUCUCUAUUCCCUUUGACGCUGCUUCUAAUGCACCUGGAUUUUCGGWGGAAGUCAUUAUAACUAAACCACUUUCCGCUCCUGAAGCUUGUACUAACGAGCUCAAUAGUUCUGUUCGGAAAGAAAUUGCCGAUGCUGAAGCAGACAUUCACCAGGCAUUGGGAAUUCAACAAAAUGUUGCUCAGGGAAAUUUUCAAAACCUAAGCCAACUAAAAAGGAACUCGUAGCAAAUAUAAAGAAAUGCUUUGCACUAAAUGCAGGCCAUAUUUGCUAUUUCUCGGCGAUGCAGCAUACAAUCCGGAAAAUUCAAGCCCUGAACCAUAAUCAUAUUCCAGUUAGCAGUGCGCAAAUAUUCGUCCGUUUAGUAAAACUCUACAGGAGUUUAGCUAAAAUAUUUGCGAAAUAUAAUGUUUGCUUAUUACAACACCCGGAAGUUACAUCCCCAAAACCAGAAAUCUCGUCAGAAUCCUCAGCUUAUUCGCUGAGCUCUGAGUCAGAACCUACAACCUCUUCGCUGAGCACGGAAGACGGAAGUAUUGAUUCCUCAGAAGCAGGAGAGACCACAGCAAACCCAMGUUCUGAGUCCUCAGAGGCUGAAGAGGCCACAGCAAGCUCAUAAAUUCUUCCACAAACCUCGUCAGAGCCUCCGGCCUGUUCAGUGAGCACUGAAAGAAGAAGUUCUGRUGAAGUUAUUUCUUCCACAAAUUUUAUAAAAUACUAUUAUUUUCAAGAAUACGUGAAUUGUGUAGGUCUAGGAAGAGGAGCUUCAUUUCUUUUGUCGUCGGACGCGAUGGUGGCUAUUAUCUCCAUUUUAUAUGUAUCCCACAUAUUGACCGAUAUUGAUGGUAAAAAGUCAACAAUAUGUAUGUUAAUUCAUUAUUCCAGAAAGGUUUUAUGCUGUUAUGCUAAUUGGCUCUUGAUUAUACACUGGAAAGGAAGGACACAAGUUAUUUUUAUUUAUUUAUUUAUUUAUUUAAAAGAGAACUAAUUAUAGAUAAUGAAUC